AUAAAACAAAUCUGAAGUUAAGAAAACAAACAAAAAACGUGAAAUACUAUGUGGAAAAAACUGAUUUGAAAAAUUUAUUGAAGGUAAUAUUUCAAGUAUUUUAGUACUUUCUACUUGACCACCUUUUUUUAGAUUGCAAUUCAAAUAUUUGUUUUUAAAAUAUUUAUUUUUGUCAAACUUGCAUCCUCACUUAUUUGCUGCCAAUAGUUCACAGAAUUUUUUUUAUUAUUUAAGAACUCUCUGCAAUUUUUUACCAUUUCUCAUCCUUUACUCAAACACUACUCAUAAUCGUAAUGCAGGAUGUUUUGAGCUUUAUUGUCAUCUUCCUUUAUUCUGACGUGCAAACAGGCGCAUAAACAAGUGUGACUCAAGAAAUAAAUAAAUAACCCUGCCUAUUUUGAGUAUGUGAUGCACAAAUACGUAAAACAUGAGCAGUCUUUGAAUUGCAUUUGAAUUACAUAAAGCAGCGGAGAGUGUGAGUAAGUCAGAAGCCGGAUCCUGCUUUCUUAAACAGGAAACUCUGUCAUUGUACCUCGAAGGGAGAGGGAUUUCCUUGAGAAACACCUAUGAGGUCAUACUGGGCCGUGCCGAACAAAGCACUCCAGAGGAACACUGUGUCCCCUGUCUGAACGUGGAACAGAAUAGACGCCGCUAACCAAAGCUGCCUUAAUGGCAAUAUCAGAGGGGCUCCACCUCCUCACGAGAAGCUCCAGCCAGCAGACAGACUCAUGGCUCCUGCUGUGUCUGGAUAUCUUGGGCUCAGCAUGUUACCUUCAUUUACACACAAAGGCCUGAUAAUCGAGCACUCUACUCCGAUACUCCCCACAGAGACUGCUGGCUCACCCUGAUUCUUGGCUCCUGUUUCAGACACUUGUGUGUCUGGAUCUCCUGUGAUACAGAUGUGAUAGUUGCCGAGAAGAAGUAGGCGCAAUUCCAGAUGGAAGUUUAUAUGUGAUAUUUAUUUUCCAUACAGUGGGCAUUUCACCAAUGGCCUUUCCCUGUUGAGGCUACUAAUCCAUUAUACAUUACUCCAAAACCACUUGUUUAAAACAAAAGAAACUAUAUCAACCACCCAUAAUAAUAAUAAUAACACAUUAAAAUUUAAUUAAAUUGAAUCCCUCAUAAAUGCUGUUUGAUUCAACUACACUAAAAAAAAAUACUAUUUCAGUCUUUGCACUUCAAAAUGUCAUGUUUGAUGCAAUGUAUUUGCCAUUUCAUGUUCUCAUUGACUGCUUGUUGGCUAGCAAUAUCUGAGUGAAAAUUGUCCCUACACCAAAUGUUUUUAGUGUAUGGUAAAACUGCUACACUAUAGUUAAAUUACAUAUUUAAUCUUG